GAUGAACGCUAGCGGCAGGCUUAAUACAUGCAAGUCGAGGGACAGCACAGGUAGCAAUACUGGGUGGUAACCGGCAAACGGGUGCGGAACACGUACACAACCUUCCUUUAAGUGGGGGAUAGCCCAGGGAAAUUUGGAUUAAUACCCCGUAAUAUAGUUGAAUGGCAUCAUUUGAUUAUUAUAGCUACGGCGCUUAAUGAUGGGUGUGCGGCUGAUUAGAUAGUUGGCGGGGUAACGGCCCACCAAGUCUACGAUCAGCAGCUGAUGUGAGAGCAUGAUCAGCCACACGGGCACUGAGACACGGGCCCGACUCCUACGGGAGGCAGCAGUAAGGAAUAUUGGUCAAUGGACGCAAGUCUGAACCAGCCAUGCCGCGUGAAGGAUUAAGGUCCCCUGGAUUGUAAACUUCUUUUAUUUGGGACGAAAAAGGGCCUUUCUAGGUCAACUGACGGUACCAGAUGAAUAAGCACCGGCUAACUCCGUGCCAGCCGCCGCGGUAACAC
rnacentral:rRNA from 1 species